AUUGAACGCUGGCGGCAUGCCUUACACAUGCAAGUCGAACGGUAACGCGGGGCAACCUGGCGACGAGUGGCGAACGGGUGAGUAAUGUAUCGGAACGUGCCCAGUUGUGGGGGAUAACUGCUCGAAAGAGCAGCUAAUACCGCAUACGACCUGAGGGUGAAAGCGGGGGAUCGCAAGACCUCGCGCAAUUGGAGCGGCCGAUAUCAGAUUAGGUAGUUGGUGGGGUAAAGGCCCACCAAGCCAACGAUCUGUAGCUGGUCUGAGAGGACGACCAGCCACACUGGGACUGAGACACGGCCCAGACUCCUACGGGAGGCAGCAGUGGGGAAUUUUGGACAAUGGACGCAAGUCUGAUCCAGCCAUGCCGCGUGCGGGAAGAAGGCCUUCGGGUUGUAAACCGCUUUUGUCAGGGAAGAAACGCUCUGGGUUAAUACCUCGGGGUAAUGACGGUACCUGAAGAAUAAGCACCGGCUAACUACGUGCCAGCCGCCGCAGUAAAAC
rnacentral:rRNA from 1 species